UACGAAGGGGGCUAGCGUUGCUCGGAAUCACUGGGCGUAAAGGGUGCGUAGGCGGGUCCUUAAGUCAGAGGUGAAAUCCUGGAGCUCAACUCCAGAACUGCCUUUGAUACUGAGGAUCUUGAGUUCGGGAGAGGUGAGUGGAACUGCGAGUGUAGAGGUGAAAUUCGUAGAUAUUCGCAAGAACACCAGUGGCGAAGGCGGCUCACUGGCCCGAUACUGACGCUGAGGCACGAAAGCGUGGGGAGCAAACAGG
rnacentral:rRNA from 1 species